GCUGACGAGUGGCGGACGGGUGAGUAAUGUCUGGGAAACUGCCUGAUGGAGGGGGAUAACUACUGGAAACGGUAGCUAAUACCGCAUAACGUCGCAAGACCAAAGAGGGGGACCUUCGGGCCUCUUGCCAUCGGAUGUGCCCAGAUGGGAUUAGCUAGUAGGUGGGGUAACGGCUCACCUAGGCGACGAUCCCUAGCUGGUCUGAGAGGAUGACCAGCCACACUGGAACUGAGACACGGUCCAGACUCCUACGGGAGGCAGCAGUGGGGAAUAUUGCACAAUGGGCGCAAGCCUGAUGCAGCCAUGCCGCGUGUAUGAAGAAGGCCUUCGGGUUGUAAAGUACUUUCAGCGGGGAGGAAGGGAGUAAAGUUAAUACCUUUGCUCAUUGACGUUACCCGCAGAAGAAGCACCGGCUAACUCCGUGCCAGCAGCCGCGGUAAUACGGAGGGUGCAAGCGUUUAAUCGGAAUUACUGGGCGUAAAGCGCACGCAGGCGGUUUGUUAAGUCAGAUGUGAAAUCCCCGGGCUCAACCUGGGAACUGCAUCUGAUACUGGCAAGCUUGAGUCUCGUAGAGGGGGGUAGAAUUCCAGGUGUAGCGGUGAAAUGCGUAGAGAUCUGGAGGAAUACCGGUGGCGAAGGCGGCCCCCUGGACGAAGACUGACGCUCAGGUGCGAAAGCGUGGGGAGCAAACAGGAUUAGAUACCCUGGUAGUCCACGCCGUAAACGAUGUCGACUUGGAGGUUGUGCCCUUGAGGCGUGGCUUCCGGAGCUAACGCGUUAAGUCGACCGCCUGGGGAGUACGGCCGCAAGGUUAAAACUCAAAUGAAUUGACGGGGGCCCGCACAAGCGGUGGAGCAUGUGGUUUAAUUCGAUGCAACGCGAAGAACCUUACCUGGUCUUGACAUCCACAGAACUUUCCAGAGAUGGAUUGGUGCCUUCGGGAACUGUGAGACAGGUGCUGCAUGGCUGUCGUCAGCUCGUGUUGUGAAAUGUUGGGUUAAGUCCCGCAACGAGCGCAACCCUUAUCCUUUGUUGCCAGCGGUCCGGCCGGGAACUCAAAGGAGACUGCCAGUGAUAAACUGGAGGAAGGUGGGGAUGACGUCAAGUCAUCAUGGCCCUUACGACCAGGGCUACACACGUGCUACAAUGGCGCAUACAAAGAGAAGCGACCUCGCGAGAGCAAGCGGACCUCAUAAAGUGCGUCGUAGUCCGGAUUGGAGUCUGCAACUCGACUCCAUGAAGUCGGAAUCGCUAGUAAUCGUGGAUCAGAAUGCCACGGUGAAUACGUUCCCGGGCCUUGUACACAC
rnacentral:rRNA from 1 species